AAGUAACAAUAAAUAUUCUUUUGCAAUUUUACAUUUGAAUUACAAUUAAAAAGAGUUUUGAUUCUCUUUUUCUACAACUUUUUAGCUGAUUUUUCACAUUAAAAACUUAAACAUUUAAGCACAUGUAUUCAGCCCUUUAAUUUUUUUAAAAAUAUUAUUAGUAGUAGAGUUGAGGAACACUAACCCUCCACAUGAUUCUGAAGACACCAUCCCCAUGCUGACACCCUGCAGUGGCAGCCUCAUGCUGAGGGGUGGUGAUUCACCUUUAGUUCAGUCCAAAGUAUAAUGGUUUCUAUAAAGAAUAUGUAUCUGCUAAGAUGGGCCGAUAAGGAUCCAUACCUAAAUUCAUUGAGAAUUUGUGCCAAGUCUUCAAAGUUGCUGUUUAUCCUCCUUGAUGUGAAAACCUAACAGAAACAAAUUGCAAAAGACAUCAAGUUGGAAUUGCAGCAAACAAACUGUUGUCUAUUUUUUCUUCUUCCUUUACAAUUAAGCUUUACUUUUUGUUGAUCUACCACAUAGCAUUCUUGUAAAAUGCAUCAACAUUGUUGACAUUGUUGCAACGUUACAAAAUGUCAAAAAGCCAGUGUGAUUCAUUUUGCAAGGCACUUUAAAAGGAAACAAACAAAAAAAAACAACACUAAUUUGCUUUUAAAAAAUCCACACGGUAGGUGUGCUACAAUUUUUAUUCACACAUACUACAGCAAUAAACAAACUACUCAGCCACAAAACAUUCUGAAUCACCUCGCUGGGUGAUAUUUAGUACGUUAUUAGCAAUGUGUCAGCGAUUACACGGCCUUUGUUUUUUCCUCAGAGAGGGUGCGCUUGGCCCCAACACCUGUUUCUCAUUCAAACCUGGAAGGUUAACAGUUGUCUGGGAAGAAGACUGAGGCCUAAACAGUGGGAGCUUCUAUUCAUCAUGGACAAACAAAGCCACAGAGCACCAAUCUGAAUGACAGCUGCCUUAAUGCCUCCAGACCUCAUUUAAAUACUUCACUUCCCCCAUCCUCAGGACUCGAUGACAUGCUGAAAUUACUCUUGGCUCAAGACUUGUGUUCAGCUCGGCUUCUUGCACAAAAACCUUGACAAAGCUAUUUCUGCUUUCCCAGAUUGUUUUUUUUUUUUAUCACAUGUUCUAUCUCACCAAUCCCCAAAUGGCUGACUGAGCCAAUCCUUCUUGUCCUGGAGAUUUCUUCUUUUUAACAUUGAGGUGUUAUUCUCCAAUUUCACCUCAUGGUUGCUCAAAGGGAUGAAUUCCUGCAAAGGAAACAAUUUGAUGUGAUCAGUUCAGUUUUAUUUGAUAUAUAGAUUUUUAGCAUUUGGCAUUAAAAUGAUAAGCUUUAUUCUGCUGUAUUGUAUUUUGAUUGGUUUGAUAUAAUUGCAGUUAAACCUAUCUAUAUCAUUAUAUCACACUGGAAUUAAUUAGACUGAUUAAAAAUGACUAUAGAAUGGUCUGGAUAUGAACUGUGCGGUUGUCUUUGACCUAUAAUCUGGUGACAAAUAAAUCAGCUGUUUUCUAUUAAAUUAGUUUGGUAAACAUAAUUACAUAUGCUUUGACUGUAUUUCUGUCUUUACUGUAAUUGUAUUAUAUCUUGUCAGUUCAUCUUUCUCAGUUUCUCUGAGGUACAGUGUGAGAUGAUCUGUCUGUACGCUCAGUGAAGUAAAUGUGCUGUAUCCGACCUUCUGAACCGCCCGAUGUUCGCCUCUGAGGGUGCCAU